GCAGUUUGUGUGUUGAGUGGUAACUUGCGAAUCGUUGUGCGUCGUUUUAAAUUUUCUUUGUGGAAUUGCAAACAUGGACUUGGCUUCGGGUUACACAAUUAUCAACGGGCAGCUGGAGGGAAUUGUGAGGCGGACAGUGUCGAAAAAUGGUGCGGCGAAGUGCAAGAUGAGGGUGAGAAAGACGAGAAAGAGGAAACGAAGGAUGAGAGAAUCCGUGAUGGAAUGUUACAAGCUGAAAAUGUAAUAUCGCGCUGAUGGUAUUGCUCAGAAAUGUCAUUGAACACUGCCAAGCUAAUGACGGACGAAUACCAACAUCCUUGUAAAAAUGCGUAUUCAACAACCAUCUAUGAUGGCGUUCUCCAACGCCGCUUUUUAACGAGAGGCCUUCAGCGAGAGC